rnacentral:rRNA from 1 species
AACGAACGCUGGCGGCAGGCCUAACACAUGCAAGUCGAGCGAGAAAGCACCUUCGGGUGUGAGUACAGCGGCGAACGGGUGAGUAACACGUGGGCAGCCUGCCCUAGAGACUGGGAUAACGUCCCGAAAGGGACGCUAAUACCGGAUGACGCGCGAUCUGCCAAGUAGGUCGCGCCAAAUGGUAGCUUCGGCUUCUGCUCUGGCAUGGGCCCGCGCCGGAUUAGCUUGUUGGGGAGGUAACGGCUCACCAAGGCGACGAUCCGUAGCUGGUCUGAGAGGACGAUCAGCCACACUGGGACUGAGACACGGCCCAGACUCCUACGGGAGGCAGCAGUGGGGAAUCUUGCGCAAUGGGCGAAAGCCUGACGCAGCAACGCCGCGUGAGCGAAGACGGCCUUCGGGUUGUAAAGCUCUGUCAGGAGGGACGAAGCCACUCAGGUGAAUAGCCGAGAGGGUGACGGUACCUCCAGAGGAAGCCCCGGCUAACUACGUGCCAGCCGCCGCAGUAACAC